AUAUUGGUCAAUGGACGCAAGUCUGAACCAGCCAUGCCGCGUGAAGGAUGAAGGUCCUCUGGAUUGUAAACUUCUUUUAUCUGGGACGAAAACGGGAUUUUUAUCUCAAUUGACGGUACCAGAGGAAUAACCACCGGCUAACUCCGUGCCAGCAGCCGCGGUAAUACGGAGGGUGCGAGCGUUAUCCGGAUUUACUGGGUUUAAAGGGUGCGUAGGUGGGCUUAUAAGUCAGUGGUGAAAUCUCCGAGCUUAACUUGGAAACUGCCGUUGAUGCUAUAGGUCUUGAAUUAUCUGGAGGUAAGCGGAAUAUGUCAUGUAGCGGUGAAAUGCUUAGAUAUGACAUAGAACACCAAUUGCGAAGGCAGCUUACUACAUAUAAAUUGACGCUGAGGCACGAAAGCGUGGGGAUCAAACA
rnacentral:rRNA from 1 species